rnacentral:lncRNA from 1 species
CAAGAACAAACGAGUUGCCUUCCCCCUUACAUAGCAAGAUCACCACAGGCUCAGUGGAAGACGAGCUCCUGGAACAGGAGUGCAGACCCGACCCUGCAAAUGCCCUAGAGCUACUCCAGACCUUAUCUUCUCAAAUAUCCUGAUGUGUUCUGGAUCAACACCACUGAUGAUAGAAGCAUCACACAGUGUCAUGUAAACCCCAAGACCAGAGAAUUUUGCCAGGACAUAAAACAACAGAAUUUCAGAUCUAUAAGGUA